UUCAGAUUUAUACUUUUUGCCAUUUAUAUAAUUGAAGAAAAUUUUAGGGUUAGUUUUACUCUCUUUGGCAAUGAAUCUCUCUGUCUCUAGUUUGGCUGCUUUUAUUUGUCUUUUACAUAUUAAAUUUUUCCCUUGUAGUUUGUUAAUGUUUCCGCGCUACCCUCCUGUUUUAGCUCCAAAGAAGUACAGGC